GAAAUUACGCCUUCAUGAAGUCGGAAUUGCUAGUAAUGGCAGGUCAGCAUACUGCCGUGAAUACGUUCCCGGGCCUUGUACACACCGCCCGUCACACCAUGAGAGUUGGGAAUACCCGAAGCCUGUGAGCCAACAAACGAGGCAGCAGUCGAAGGUAGAAUCAAUGAUUGGGGUGAAGUCGUAACAAGGUACC
rnacentral:rRNA from 1 species